rnacentral:rRNA from 1 species
UACGGAAGGCAGCAGUGGGGAAUAUUGCACAAUGGGCGCAAGCCUGAUGCAGCCAUGCCGCGUGUAUGAAGAAGGGCCUUCGGGUUGUAAAGUACUUUCAGUCGUGAGGAAGGUGUUAAGGUUAAUAACCUUAGCAAUUGACGUUAGCGACAGAAGAAGCACCGGCUAACUCCGUGCCAGCAGCCGCGGUAAUACGGAGGGUGCGAGCGUUAAUCGGAAUUACUGGGCGUAAAGGGCACGCAGGCGGUUAAUUAAGUUGGAUGUGAAAUCCCCGGGCUUAACCUGGGAAUGGCAUUCAAGACUGGUUAGCUAGAGUCUUGUAGAGGGGGUAGAAUUCCAUGUGUAGCGGUGAAAUGCGUAGAGAUGUGGAGGAAUACCGGGUGGCGAAGGCGGCCCCUGGGACAAAGGCUGACGCUCAUGUGCGAAAGCGUGGGGAGCAAACGAGGAUUAGAUACC